ensembl:ncRNA C08G5.9 ncRNA
AAGAAGAAACUUAUGGAAAAACUCGUAAGCACCCCCACAACCCCUGCUUCAGACGCCUCCCCAAAGGACCACUGGUAGGGGAGCAGAUACAUCUCUCUAUGAAGAUAAAAAGUGUGAAAAUU